rnacentral:rRNA from 1 species
UACGAAGGGGGCUAGCGUUGUUCGGAAUUACUGGGCGUAAAGGGCGCGUAGGCGGUGUGUCAAGUCAGGCGUGAAAGCCCCGGGCUCGACCUGGGAACCGCGCUUGAGACUGGCACGCUCGAGUUCGGGAGAGGAUGGUGGAAUUCCCAGUGUAGAGGUGAAAUUCGUAGAUAUUGGGAAGAACACCGAUGGCGAAGGCAGCCAUCUGGACCGACACUGACGCUGAGGCGCGAAAGCGUGGGGAGCAAACAGG